AAUCUUCCGCAAUGGACGAAAGGCUGACGGAGCAACGCCGCGUGAGUGAUGAUGGUCNNNGGAUCNUCAAACUCUGUUGUUAGNGACNAACAAGUAUAAGGCGAAUAACCUUAUACCUUGACGGUACCUAACCAGAAAGCACCGGCUAACUACGUGCGAGCAGCCGCGGUAAUACGUAGGGGGCGAGCGUUGUCCGGACUUAUUGGGCGUAAAUGUGUCGUAGGCGGUCUUCUAAGUCUGAUGUGAAAGCCCCCGGCUUAACCGGGGAGGGUCAUUGGAAACUGGAAGACUUGAGUGCAGAAGAGGAGAGCGGAAUUCCACGCGUAGCGGUGAAAUGCGUAGAGCUGUGGAGGAACACCAGUGGCGAAGGCGGCUCUCUGGUCUGUAACUGACGCUGAGGCACGAAAGCGUGGGGAGCAAACA
rnacentral:rRNA from 1 species